GGGCGGGAGGCGUCCGUCCUCCUCGCGCUGCCGCCCGGUCCACGUCCUCCACAGUACACAAUGGCCCCAGAGGAAGGCCCGCUCGCAGCACGUCAGAAAGGAAUUGGACUCGGAGAGAAAUGAGGGGCCUAGACUCGCCCGGGAACGAAAGUGGAAACGGGAAAGGAAAUGGACGAAGGGAUGCAAGGCACGAAGGAGCUAACCAAUGAGGGGUGGCAGUUUUAGACGGAUUGCAGACCAAACAUCAGGCUGAUGAAAAAAGCAAAUAGUUGACAACGCUGGCCAGUCUCUGCUAAUCAUGCCAGAGCAAUAAAAGUACCAGAUAAUUGGAAUUGCUGAUAAAUACCUUGCACCUUUUUACUUAGUGCAAGUUUCUGCCUAAAUGACUGAGGAGGAGACGGCUAUUGUGUUUUGUCGGAGUCACCUUUACACAGAUUUCUAUCCAUUUAAAAACAACCUUACUGUCGCUGCCAUUCUCUAUCAGCAUUGUUACCUCUUUCUGGGGCACCAUGCUUUGUGCUCUUAAAAAGGCCGACAUCUGGCUAGUUUUUAAAGGAGAAAGCUACUGUGCUGGGACUUGUCUUUCAGCAAGAUCAUAGGUUAAACAAAUGCCUUCCAUUUAUUUCAGUUUACUUCAAUCCCACCACUCAUGCUACCAACAAUUGCUCUGGACUUCACACUUUGGAACUUUCUUUCCACUACAGUUGAUAGCGUUUGUUACACUUUUCAGCUUGGACAUCUCAGAUGUUCUGAUAUUUUACACUGGAUUUUUUGUUUUUGAUUUUGUUUUUUCAAAUCUUUCUCUAACCACGUAACCUGAUAAAAUGUUUCUCAAUGGUUCUAAUCACUUUCUAGCAAAUAAGAAUUUUAAUGCUGUAAUUAUUACUAUGAAGGAUCCUGAGUUGUCCUUUACAGCCUUGAAUUUACAUGGUUAAGAUUUUAAUUUGACGAAAACAGAAAAAAAUGUGCCUUUGCAACCAGUCAGGUGAUAAAGUGUGAUUCAGGAAGUAA